rnacentral:rRNA from 1 species
AGAGUUUGAUCAUGGCUCAGGAUGAGCGCUAGCUACAGGCCUAACACGAUGCAAGUCGAGGGAAACGAUAUUGGAAGCUUGCUUCCGAUAGGCGUCGACCGGCGUACGGGUGAGUAACGCGUAUCCAACCUGCCCACCACUUGGGGAUAACCUUGCGAAAGUAAGACUAAUACCCAAUGACGUCUCUAGAAGACAUCUGAAAGAGAUUAAAGAUUUAUCGGUGAUGGAUGGGGAUGCGUCUGAUUAGCUUGUUGGCGGGGUAACGGCCCACCAAGGCGACGAUCAGUAGGGGUUCUGAGAGGAAGGCCCCCCACAUUGGAACUGAGACACGGUCCAAACUCCUACGGGAGGCAGCA